GCGAGUAUGGCCCUCACGGGUCUAAUCCACCAUAAACACCUUUGUGAACCAGUCAGGGGGACUCGGCCGUGAAAGCCCAGGCGAUUAGCGGAAGGGCCCUCCUUUGCAAACCCGUUUAGAAGUCUUGAAAGUACUUUUGUAUGAUCUAGUA
rnacentral:misc_RNA from 1 species